AGACAAGGGGGUNGCAUGGGUUGUCGUCANCUCGUGUCNUGAGAUGUUGGGUUGAAGUCCCCGNAAACGAGCGCANCCCUUGUUANUAGUUGCNANNGCAAGAGCACUCUAAUGAGACUGCCGUUGACAAAACGGAGGAAGGUGGGGAUGACGUCAAAUCAUCAUGCCCCUUAUGGACNNGGGCUACACANGUANUACAAUGGCGAGCAACAGAGGGAUGCAAUAUGGCAACAUGGAGCAAAACCNUAAAAGUCGUCUCAGUUCANANNGCAGGCUGCAACUCGCCUGUAUGAAGUCGGAAUUGCUAGUAAUNGCGGAUCAGCAUGCCGCGGUGAAUACGUUCCCGGGCNUUGUACACACCGCCCGUCACAUCCAUGGGAGUCGGUAACACCNGAAGCCAGUAGCCUAACCUUGAUCGAGGGCGUCUGUCGAAGGUGGGNAUUGAUGACUGGGGUGAAGUNGUAACAAGGUAGCCUGUAUCGGAAGGUGCGGCUGGAUCACCU
rnacentral:rRNA from 1 species